UUUUAUCGUCUUAGGCUAUGGUAGAUUUUCCUUUCUUUGUAAAGCACACCACUUUAAUUUUUUAAUACAGUGCAGGAGAUGGGUUGGUUAGAGGAACAAGAUAGACUCACCAACUAGGUUGUUUCAAACUUAAGUAGCUAGAUUGUAAAGAAGACUCGAUUUAGAGUCAAAUUAUUUGUCAACAGAAUUUUAAUUUGUUAAAUUAUUUUGCUCAUGUGGCUCACUCCUUAUUAUUGAACUCUUGGUGCUCGUAUAUUUUGAAUUAUCAUCGUUUUAACCCUAGGUUUGAUAUAAGUGCUGGGAUGAUUGCAGAACAGUAGUCUAUAAAGUGAGCUUCUAAUUUUAAAAGCUCCCUUUGUUGUUGUGCUAAAUUUCUUAACAUUAUAUCUAGUUUUUUCACAUAUCCCUUUCUUGAUAUGGGAGGGCACACUUACAAGGACAUAUGAAAUAAGAUGCUUCAAGUUGGUUGACGGAAAGUUUUCAAUGAACUAUGCGGACAGAUGUGGUGUUGAUGGAUGAAGCGUUAUCUAAAGAUGUUCUCUUGAGUUUUCAUUGCAGAGGAGAUGAAGAAGAAUACAUAGCUUGUUUAAUAAGCAGAGGACGGUGAUAUCUACAACAAGUUGGUAGUCAUUGGCAUUUUUCACUCAUUCCCAUUAGAUAUGAUUUUCUUUCUUCUUAUUUAAUGAUAAAUAUAUGA